AGUCACUGACAUUAGAUACCCCGGUAGUCCCAGCCGUAAACAAUGUGCGUUAGGUGUGUCGGUAACCACGUGUUACUGAUGCGCCGAAGAGAAAUCGUGAAACGCACCACCUGGGAAGUACGGUCGCAAGGCUGAAACUUAAAGGAAUUGGCGGGGAGCACCACAACAGGUGGAGCCUGCGGUUUAAUUGGAUUCAACACCGGACAUCUCACCGGAUAAGACAGCUGAAUGAUUGUCAAUCUGAAGGUUUUACAUGACUAGCUG
rnacentral:rRNA from 1 species